AUGAACAAACUAAAUUGGGAUCGAGAAGCCAAAGAAAGAAUGGAAACGAAGGAGUGAGCCAAUAAAGAAACAAUCGCCGCCUUCACUUGCCCCCUCCUCGAAAUCUGACGGCCGUACUCCGUCCUCCGCCACGAAUUCCUCCUCGUCUCUCUGCCUCCUCCUUCCAUCUCUCCACUCCUCAAAUCGAACAAAUUUACUCUGCAAAUUAUUU
rnacentral:lncRNA from 1 species